ACUUUGUCACUGUUAGGAAUCAUAAUGUUAACAUCGGAUAAGCAUGACACCAGAUAUCCGACCCCUGUGGGAGGGGUUGCGUCCCAAGGGUGAGAACCACCGCUCCACGCCAUCACAGAAUCAAGCUCUAACUGCCAAUAGAUCUCCAGAACAAGCAACCCUUCAGGUAGUCAAUCUCCCUCAUCAACAAGCACUAAGUGGACAAACCCCACAGCACCCAGAGUGUGGCUGCUGCCCUGGGAGAAGCAACAGAGUGAGUGGAUCAGACGACUGACAGACAGACCGUCCACUUAGGGAUCGUGGAGAGCAUGCUCAUGGGAAACCGUGGCCUCACCUACCUAACCAGGAUGAAGAGGAGGGAGGUACAGGACAGACCUGGGAGAAGAGGCAUGAGAGAUGAUCAGAGGAAGUGAGCCUACUGUGAAGCGACUAUAGAUGGACACACCAGUGCUGACAAGCCUGUUGGAUGACAAGUUCCAUGAGGACACAGAGCAGACCUUCUGGCUGGUGGCAUCUCUCUAUAUAUAUGUUCUGCUCAGUGGUCCUGAGCAAGUAUUUUGGAAUAAGACUAACUGCUGAAUACUUACUCAAGUGUGAGUAAUGGGGGUGAGGUAUUUGUUUGAGACAGGGUCUCAUUCUCGUGUAGCUGGGGCUGGCCUCAAACUCCCAACCCUCCGGCGGCCACCAUCUCUCAUGUCAUGAGCUCUCAUUCGUGAGCCAACACACCCAGCUACGGGAUUAAGAAAUUUUAGAUGAAUCUGUGCAGAUGUUUCUGACUCUCUUACUUUUAUCCAGGCUGAGUUCUUCCAAGGGAGGAGUCCCACAGGAACGUCUCUGCACUUGAAAAGGGAUUAGGAAAGAUGGGAAGUACCUCCCUGAGAUCCCCAGGACCAGGGAGCCAUCCAGGUUCCCAUCACAUAAACAUGACACAUCGUAGCAGCAUCCAGUGAAUAACGCCUUACUAACAGAACCGAGCUGAGUUUCUAGGUAGUGAUGGAAGGAAAACACACCAUCACCGUGUAACCGACGAGGACAAAUUUGACAAGAAGGCUCAGGCCCAUUUUCACCUUCAUGCGGUACCCGAGAGUGGAGCCAUCCCACUCUAACUCUCAACAAAGCAAAUGGGCUAUAGAGGAAAGAGAAUGUGCAAUGCAACACUAUAAACCACUGUGUGUGAUGAUAGCCCUGGGAUCGAGCAUUUCAAGGCAGGUGGGUCUUAUGUGUUUGGGAGCAGCCUGGUUUACAUGAGCUCCAAGCCAGUCAAACCUGCAUAGUAAAUAAAACCCACAGUGAAAAAACAAAACAAAACAAACAAAAAACAAUUAGAGAUGCAUCAUGUUAAAAAAGAAAAACAUAACAUGAAAUGUUUAAAACAGAAGAUGCAGGAAACUAAAAUAAAAAACAAGGUUACAGCCUUUUUUCUUGGUGUUGACUAUGUGCCAGCAUGAGUUUACAGGCAGAGGCCAGAGGAGGACAGUGUCUUCCUCCACAGCUCUCUCUCUGCCUUAUUGUCUUGAGACAGUCUCUCACUGCAUCUGAAGCUCAGUGUUCUGGUGGACUGGCUGACUAGGAAACUCCCAGGAUCUACCUAUCUCUGACAUGCGCGGCCAUACAUGGCUAUGCCCCGGGUUUUACACAGGUGUUUAAGAUUCUAACUCAGGUCUUUGUGUUUGCACAUCAAGCACUCUUACACACCGAGCCAUCUCCUCUGCACCUAUAGACUUAAAAAUUGGUCCUUGGCAGAUGUCAUGCAUAAAAUAAAUAACCAACAAGAUUUCAAAAAUGUUUUCUGGAUACUUUAAUGGAAACACUGUCUGUCUAUCGUCAUUCCAUUCAAAUCUUCAUUAUUAACCAAAUAAUUCAGACACUCUAACUUGGUGGUUGUCAAGCACUUUCUGUAAUGGCAGUAAGAAGUUGGGACUCUGGAAGCCGUGAUUUUGUAACAUAAAAGUAGCCACAAAUAAUACAAAAACAAAUGAGCAUUAAUAUGUCCCCAUGAAACGUUUCCCUUUUGUUUGUUUGUUUUGUUUUUUAAGACAGGAUUUCUCUCUGUAGCUUUGGAGUCUGUCCUGGAACUCAUUCUGUAGACCAGACUGGCCUUGAACUCACUGAGAUCCACGUGCCUCUGCCUCCUAAAUGCUGGGAUUAAAGAUGUGAGUGACCACCACCCAGCUCUUAUGAAACUCUUUAAUCCAAGCCCUCGGGAACCAGGUGGAUCUCAGUAAGUCUGAGGCCAGCCGGGUCUACAGAGUUCCAAGACUGACACACAGAGUAACCCUGUCUCAAAAGGGGGUGUGGACGGGGGGAGGGAAGGAGAGAGAGAGAGAGAGAGAGAGAGAGAGAGAGAGAGAGAGACUAUUAAGAAGGAAAAAACAAAACUACGGGCUAUUUUGAACGAUAGAUCAUAGUUUGCUACCCCUGCUCUAUCUGAUGGAAUUUAUCCGAAUGGUCAUGAAUGUUUACCACAAGCUGAGUGUCAUUUAGAACACAAAGAAUCCGAAAAAUCUAAAAUAAACAUACAAACAGGGUGCAGUGGGUCACACCUGUCCUCCCAGCCACUUGAAACAGUGAAAGUGGAGAAGCAUUUGCAUUCUGCGGUUUGGAAUGCUCCAGGACAAAUGAUAAAGACUUGGUCUCAAAAUGAAAGGAAGGAGAGAAGGAAGAAAGGCCAUAAACUCAAGAAUAAAGCGGCCAUGGUGAAACAUGCCUUAUUCUCAGCACUUGGGAAGCAGUGAGUUCAAGGUCAGCCUGCUCUAUAUGGUGAAUUCCAGGCCAGGAGGAGCCACAAUGAAACCUUGACUCAAGCAGUGGGGGAGUUUAAAAUACAAACACUGAGUUUUCAGAGGGUCUGUAAUACCAGCACUGAGAAUAUAGAAGUAAAUCUGAUUGGGGGCAACCUGGUCUACACAGUGAAUCCCAGGUCAGUCGAGGCUAUUUCAAUCCCUUUUCUAAAACAAUAGCAGGAGCUAACAAGUGACAAAGUCCUAAGGACCCAGUUCCAUACACAACCAAUUCCCUCAAGUUGCACCGUGGCAUGUUCACACCUACAGACAGAGGGGAGGAGGCUCCAACAAACAAGAAAAAAGUCAGCCUUGCUCUGAAGGUCAGAUCGCCUCAAGUGAAAAAUCCUGUUGGGUUUACUGCCCACUGUGUGAUCACACCGUUCCAUUCAUGGAUCUCCAGAAAGAACAGCAGGAUCCUCCAGCAGAAUUCUUCCUCACACUCGGCUACCUCUCAAGAAUGGCACGGAAUUGAAAAUGCAAGUUCCCAACCAGCCACUGGAGGAGACUGUGCAGCCACAGGGAAGCAAGGAUCUACACACAGAGCAAGAGAAUCUAGCAUCUACACAGAAAAUGUGCUUGGGCAUCCCCCAAAGACCCCCUCAGCAUAAGGACCUCAGGGAACAGGUGGCUGAUUGAUAAGCUACUUGUUUCUGCAGAGCCCAGGAACCCUGGACUGCCUGGGGCCAAGUAGAGACCCUUCUUGGGAAAUCACAGAGAUGGCCCCAGCCAUUCAUUCCCUUUGGGCCUGGAGGCCAACCUCUCUGUUCUUGCUUUGAUCCCAGGGCAGCACCUCCCAACCCUUCCUCCCCUUCCUUCUCUCUCUCUCUCUCUCUCAGUGGUGGCCAGCACACAAACCCCGAAGGGUGGAGUGCUGGCCUCACCCUCCCCUCCAAGUCCCCAAGCCAUUGUGUCUGAAGUGGCUAAAGAAUUCUCCUUCAGGAAUGAGCUCAGAGCAGUGGCUAAUUCCAAAGGACCCUUCACAGGCUUCAACAAAAGCCUCUGAGAAGAAAGCUAGGCUGGAGAAAAGUCGGGAAUGUUGGUUCGUCCAAUUUCUGGAACCAGGCAGGCUUUGCCAUUUAGGAGUCUUCGCUACAGAUGUUUAAGAGACAAUUUUGGUCAGGUGUGGUGACUGAUACCUAGAAUCCCAGCACUCUGGAAGCUGAGGCACAAGGAUGGUUACAAACUUGAGGCCAACCUGAAUAUCUAAAAAAAUUAAAACAACAA